UCCAGCAGUGUCAGUCUGUAGCUCGAAACAGCGUUGACGUUUAGCUUCCUAUCAAAUGGCAAAUAAUAUUGCAACUGUUUUUGAAAGUCUGAAAGUCGAAAUAGAGUCCCCGUGUUGUUAGUGAUAUUGCUAAUAUUUUAGUGCACCUGUAAGGAAACGGGUGGUAAAAUUGAUUGCAAUAAUGUAUCCUGGUAAAGUUUGGGACAGGAGAGAAGGUGAAAAAAAGUUACACACUGAACUCCCAGAAGUCUCCAUCAUCUUCAAGUUACGAUGUCAACAAAUACUGACCUUGCAGAGGGCAGAGCUCUGGCUAAGCAAGGACCUCUCCAUGUGGUGUCCUCACACAGCCUCUCCAGCAUGACAGCCUCAGGAUAGCUGGUCUUAUUAUAUGGCAAGUGGUCCAAGAACGAGUGUUGCAAGAGACCCGAGCAGAAGCUGAAUAGCUUCUUCUUUAUUACCCAACUCUGAGAAUCUGAGAACACCACUUCUACCACAUUUUAUUGGUUAAGCAAGGCACUAAGGCCAGCCCAUAUCCAAGCCGCAUAGAGGGGAGACGGUAGUUCCAGGAUGCAUCAACCUUGACAAUCAACAACUUCCACCCCAGUGCUACUGCUGCAACUCCUCUUCAUGGUAUUCCCCAACACCGAGCCUCCUUCUCACUAGAAGAAGCCUUCUUUAAGUAUGUAUCAGCAUACAAGCAGGUGGCCAGAUUUUGCCACUGGCACUCAAGCAGAAUCCUGGGGUCCCUGGGGCAGCUCAGUCAGUUAAGCGUCAGACUCUUGAUUUUUGGCUCACAGUUGAUGAG